rnacentral:rRNA from 1 species
UACAUAGGGGGCAAGCGUUAUCCGGAAUUAUUGGGCGUAAAGAGUGCGUAGGCGGAUGAUUAAGUCUGGUGUAAAAUUCCACAGCUUAACUGUGGAGGGUCAUUGGAAACUGGUCAACUAGAGUACGGUAGAGGUAAGCGGAAUUCCAAGUGGAGCGGUAAAAUGCGUAGAUAUUUGGAGGAACACCAGUGGCGAAGGCGACUUACUGGGCCGGGACUGACGCUGAUGCACGAAAGCGUGGGGAGCAAACAGGAUUAGAAACCCUCGUAGUCC